ensembl:lncRNA
UGACUCUGAUGACUUGUGGAUGGAUGAGGCGGAGAAACAGGCGAAGGAGGUGGAGCAAAUGAGAGAGGAGAUUCUAAGAAACGAGGAAGUGGAGAGAAGGAGAACAGAGAUGGAAAGAUACAAAAAAAUGGAAAGAGAGAAACAGGCGAUAGAGAAAAGAAGACAGAAUAUUGAGAAAGUGAGAGAGGAGAUGAACAGGAGGGGGGAGGCUCUCUCAGGAGACAGCGAUGACAGCGACGGGGAGACUGACUCUGAUGACGUGUGGAUGGAUGAGGUGGAGAAACAGGCGAAGGAGGUGGAUCUAAUCAGAGAGGAAGAGGAAAGAAAGGUAAAGAUGGAGAGAAUUAGAGCAGUGAUGGAGAGAACUAAAGCAGAGAUGAAGAUGAUGAUAGCAGAGAUGGUGAGAAAAAGAGAGGAGAUGGAGCGAAAAAGAGAGGAACAGGAAAGAAGGAUGGAGGAGAUGGAGCGAACAAGAGAGGAAGCAGAAAUUGAAAUAAACAAAGAAAGGGAGAGGGAGAAACAUGAAGACCAGAGGCAAAAAGGAAAGGAGAGACAAGAGGGAAGUGAGAAUUCAGGAAAAGAAGAGAUGGAGAAGACGGAGGAUGAGAAAGUGAAAGAGCCACAGACG